AAGGUGAUAUGAACCGUUAUAACCGGCGAUACCCGAAUGGGGAAACCCAGUGUGACUCGUCACACUAUCAUUAACUGAAUCCAUAGGUUAAUGAGGCGAACCGGGGGAACUGAAACAUCUAAGUACCCCGAGGAAAAGAAAUCAACCGAGAUUCCCCCAGUAGCGGCGAGCGAACGGGGAGGAGCCCAGAGCCUGAAUCAGCAUGUGUGUUAGUGGAAGCGUCUGGAAAGGCGCGCGAUACAGGGUGACAGCCCCGUACACAAAAGCGCAUGUGCUGUGAGCUCGAUGAGUAGGGCGGGACACGUGGUAUCCUGUCUGAAUAUGGGGGGACCAUCCUCCAAGGCUAAAUACUCCUGACUGACCGAUAGUGAACCAGUACCGUGAGGGAAAGGCGAAAAGAACCCCGGCGAGGGGAGUGAAAAAGAACCUGAAACCGUGUACGUACAAGCAGUGGGAGCACCCUUUGGGGUGUGACUGCGUACCUUUUGUAUAAUGGGUCAGCGACUUAUAUUCUGUAGCAAGGUUAACCGAAUAGGGGAGCCGGAGGGAAACCGAGUCUUAAUUGGGCGUUAAGUUGCAGGGUAUAGACCCGAAACCCGGUGAUCUAGCCAUGGGCAGGUUGAAGGUUGGGUAACACUAACUGGAGGACCGAACCGACUAAUGUUGAAAAAUUAGCGGAUGACCUGUGGCUGGGGGUGAAAGGCCAAUCAAACCGGGAGAUAGCUGGUUCUCCCCGAAAGCUAUUUAGGUAGCGCCUCGUGAAUUCAUCUCCGGGGGUAGAGCACUGUUUCGGCUAGGGGGCCAUCCCGGCUUACCAACCCGAUGCAAACUGCGAAUACCGGAGAAUGUUAUCACGGGAGACACACGGCGGGUGCUAACGUCCGUCGUGAAGAGGGAAACAACCCAGACCGCCAGCUAAGGUCCCAAAGUCAUGGUUAAGUGGGAAACGAUGUGGGAAGGCCCAGACAGCCAGGAUGUUGGCUUAGAAGCAGCCAUCAUUUAAAGAAAGCGUAAUAGCUCACUGGUCGAGUCGGCCUGCGCGGAAGAUGUAACGGGGCUAAACCAU
rnacentral:rRNA from 1 species